AACGAACGCUGGCGGCAUGCCUAACACAUGCAAGUCGAACGAUACCUUCGGGUCUAGUGGCGCCCGGGUGCGUAACGCGUGGGAACCUUCCCUUAGGUUCGGAAUAACUCCCCGAAAGGGGUGCUAAUACCGGAUAAUGUCUUCGGACCAAAGAUUUAUCGCCUUUGGAUGGGCCUGCGUUGGAUUAGCUAGUUGGUAGGGUAAAAGCCUACCAAGGCGAAGAUCCAUAGCUGGUCUGAGAGGAUGAUCAGCCACACUGGGAGUGUGACACGGCCCAGACUCCUACGGGAGGCGGCAGUGGGGAAUAUUGGACAAUGGGCGAAAGACUGAUCCAGCAAUGCCGCGUGAGUGAUGAAGGCCUUAGGGUUGUAAAGCUCUGUUACCCGGGAUGAUAAUGACAGUACCGUGAGAAUAAGCUCCGGCUAACUCCGUG
rnacentral:rRNA from 1 species